AGCGAACGCUGGCGGCAGGCUUAACACAUGCAAGUCGAGCGGGCAUCCUUGUGGUGUCAGCGGCAGACGGGUGAGUAACGCGUGGGAACGUGCUCUUCGGUUCGGAAUAACUCUGGGAAACUUGAGCUAAUACCGGAUACGUGCGAGAGCAGAAAGGUUUAUCUGCCGAAGGAUCGGCCCGCGUCUGAUUGGUUAGUUGGUGAGGGUAUGGCUCUCCAAGGCGACGUUCAGUAGCUGAUCUGCGAGGAUGAUCAGCCACACUGGGACUGAGGCACGGCCCCGACUCCGACGGGAGGCAGCAGUGGGGAAUAUUGGACGAGGGAGGCAACCCUGGUCCAGCCAUGCCGGGUGAGUGAGGACGGCCUUAGUGUUGUGAAGCUCUUUUCGCCGGGACGAUAGUGACGGUACCGGGGGAAUAAGCCCCGGCUAACUUCGUG
rnacentral:rRNA from 1 species